GCUUUCGUAACUCAGUUGGUAGAGUCGCGGGCUCUUAACCCGUUGGUCGCAGGUUCGAACCCUGCCGGAAGCA
rfam:Kitasatospora griseola strain MF730-N6 RKJC_7, whole genome shotgun sequence.